UUCUGUAGCGUUCUCUUUCCUGGGCUCUCGGCGUCUCGGCGUCUCCAGAGGACACGGCACCGACGGGGGGGGCACAGUCUGAGCCAGGCAUCCCUCCUUAGGCGCCGAGCCUAUGCUUUUUUCUCCUCAGGUUCGCCCAGGCCUUCGCAGAUGGGUGCGCCAGCAACUGCUGGGCCGGGACAGUGAAGCAGAGGAGGGGGAGGUGGGGAAGGUGAGCCCAGUUUCGGGGGACUGCAACGCCCUUAACCCCCAUGCGGGCCCAGCCCUGGCCGCCCCUGUGAAACGAGGGCCCUGGGGUUCCCUCUCACCCCACUGGCCCGAGGGCGCCACCUCUAGGCCAAGGCCCGCUCCUCGGCCUCCUGUGACCGCGUGCUGAGCCAGGGCUUGGGCUAGGCGGAGGGGGCCUAGCAGCUAGCCUUGGGAAAGGGCAUCUUGGAUUACGCGGCGGGAGCGAUGCGCUCUGCCCCCCAGUGCCGGGACAUCAGCUCUCGGCCAUCUCGGUGGAGAUGGGCCUGGCCAUCAAGCUCUGUUGGCUGGGCGCCUGCUGGGAGUACCACACCCUUUGGGGACUACCACACCCUUUGGGGACUCCCGCACCACAGUCAGCAAGGUCAUAACGGGGUGUCGGCGAGGCGGUGGUGUGGUUGUUUGGUCCCUGCCACGUGCUGCCCUCAGAGGGCUGGGCCUGCAGGUCCUGGCGGCUGCUUUCUGUAGACGUACACGGCUGCUACAACCGGAAGGGUCCCAUUCUGGACCCGGGGAUGCUCAUAGCUGAUUGUAAAGGGUCUGGCACUUGUUGGUCGGGGAGGUCCUUUGAAGAAUCUGGAUUCAGACUGCCUUGGGGGGUGCCAUCCACCACCACUAGGUGCGCCACCACCAGGGACUUCAGGGUUGGCUCCGCGGGUCGCCCAGGCUGGAGGCAUGUUGUUCCCAGGAGCAUAGAGGGUGAUCGUAUGUGGAGUUCACAGUACGCAUUGCUCCUGUGGUUGAUGAAAACCCUUUGCAGCUGUUCCUGGCUCCCCAAGACUCAACCAUGGAAGGUACAGAAAGGUGUGUGACAAGAAACUCAUGGCUUUUAAUUCUGGCAGGAAGGACAAGGAAAACCAAGGAUAAAGACUUGAUCAAGUUUUAUUAUUCUCCCACUGGAGAUGGGGGAGGGGGAAUCAGUCAUAUUUAGUAAACAGCUCUCUCCUCAUU